rnacentral:rRNA from 1 species
UACAGAGGGGGCAAGCGUUGUUCGGAAUUACUGGGCGUAAAGGGCGCGUAGGCGGCCUUCUAAGUCGAACGUGAAAUCCCCAGGCUCAACCUGGGAACUGCGUCCGAUACUGGAUGGCUUGAAUCCGGGAGAGGGAUGCAGAAUUCCAGGUGUAGCGGUGAAAUGCGUAGAUAUCUGGAGGAAUACCGGUGGCGAAGGCGGCAUCCUGGACCGGCAUUGACGCUGAUGUGCGAAAGCUAGGGGAGCAAACGGG